GUCUUUGGAGGCAGCAGUGGGGAAUAUUGGGCAAUGGCCGAAAGGCUGACCCAGCAACGCCGCGUGGUGGAUGAAGCCCUUCGGGGUGUAAACACCUUUUCUGGGGGAAGAUAAUGACGUA
rnacentral:rRNA from 1 species